rnacentral:rRNA from 1 species
CCUACGGGCGGCUGCAGUGGGGAAUAUUGCACAAUGGGGGGAACCCUGAUGCAGCGACGCCGCGUGGGUGAGGAAGUACUUCGGUAUGUAAAGCCCUAUCAGCAGGGAAGAAAAUGACGGUACCUGACUAAGAAGCCCCGGCUAACUACGUGCCAGCAGCCGCGGUAAUACGGAGGAUGCGAGCGUUAUCCGGAUUUAUUGGGUUUAAAGGGUGCGCAGGCGGAUUUUUAAGUCAGCGGUCAAAUCGUGGGGCUCAACCCCAUCCAGCCGUUGAAACUGGGGAUCUAGAGUGUGCGAGAGGUAUGCGGAAUGCGUGGUGUAGCGGUGAAAUGCAUAGAUAUCACGCAGAACCCCGAUUGCGAAGGCAGCAUACCGGUGCACAACUGACGCUCAGGCACGAAAGCGUGGGUAUCGAACAGGAUUAGAUACCCUUGUAGUC